GACGAACGCUGGCGGCGUGCCUAAUACAUGCAAGUAGAACGCUGAAGCUUGGUGCUUGCCCCGAGCGGAUGAGUUGCGAACGGGUGAGUAACGCGUAGGUAACCUGCCUGGUAGCGGGGGAUAACUAUUGGAAACGAUAGCUAAUACCGCAUAAGAGUAGAUGUUGCAUGACAUUUGCUUAAAAGGUGCAAUUGCAUCACUACCAGAUGGACCUGCGUUGUAUUAGCUAGUUGGUGAGGUAACGGCUCACCAAGGCAACGAUACAUAGCCGACCUGGGAGGGGGAUCGGCCCCACUGGGACUGGGACACGGCCCAGACUCCUACGGGAGGCAGCAGUAGGGGAUCUUCGGCAAUGGACGGAAGUCUGACCGGGCAACGCCGCGUGAGUGAAGAAGGGUUUCGGAUCGUAAAGCUCUGUUGUAAGAGAAGAACGAGUGUGAGAGUGGAAAGUUCACACUGUGACGGUAUCUUACCAGAAAGGGACGGCUAACUACGUG
rnacentral:rRNA from 1 species